CGCUACUACCGAUUGAAUGGAUUAGUGAGCUCUAGGGAUUGCUUUGUCUUUUGGUUCGCCAAUCGAUGGGGUGAAAACUAGAUCAAACUUGCUCAUUUAGAGGAAGUAAAAGUCGUAACAAGGGU
rnacentral:rRNA from 1 species